GCAAGGAAUCUUGCGCAAUGGGCGAAAGCCUGACGCAGCAACGCCGCGUGGGGGAUGAAGGCCUUCGGGUCGUAAACCCCUUUUGCAGGGGAAGCAACUGACGGUACCCUGCGAAUAAGCCACGGCUAACUACGUGCCAGCAGCCGCGGUAAUACGUAGGUGGCGAGCGUUGUCCGGAUUUACUGGGCGUAAAGCGCGCGCAGGCGGCCUGCCAAGUCUGGGGUGAAAGCUCCCGGCUCAACCGGGAGAGGUCUCCAGAUACUGGCAGGCUUGAGGGGAGCAGAGGAGAGUGGAAUUUCCGGUGUAGCGGUGAUAUGCGUAGAUAUCGGGAGGAACACCAGUGGCGAAGGCGGCUCUCUGGGCUCUCCCUGACGCUGAGGCGCGAAAGCGUGGGUAGCGAACCGG
rnacentral:rRNA from 1 species